rnacentral:rRNA from 1 species
AGUGAACGCUGGCGGUAGGCCUAACACAUGCAAGUCGAACGGCAGCACAGUAAGAGCUUGCUCUUACGGGUGGCGAGUGGCGGACGGGUGAGGAAUACAUCGGAAUCUACUUUUUCGUGGGGGAUAACGUAGGGAAACUUACGCUAAUACCGCAUACGACCUACGGGUGAAAGCAGGGGAUCUUCGGACCUUGCGCGAUUGAAUGAGCCGAUGUCGGAUUAGCUAGUUGGCGGGGUAAAGGCCCACCAAGGCGACGAUCCGUAGCUGGUCUGAGAGGAUGAUCAGAAACACUGGAACUGAGACACGGUCCAGACUCCUACGGGAGGCAGCAGUGGGGAAUAUUGGACAAUGGGCGCAAGCCUGAUCCAGCCAUACCGCGUGGGUGAAGAAGGCCUUCGGGUUGUAAAGCCCUUUUGUUGGGAAAGAAAAGCAGCAGGUUAAUACCCCGCUGUUCUGACGGUACCCAAAGAAUAAGCACCGGCUAACUUCGUG